UGGGGAAUUUUGGACAAUGGGCGCAAGCCUGAUCCAGCCAUGCCGCGUGCAGGAUGAAGGCCCUCGGGUUGUAAACUGCUUUUGUACGGAACGAAAAGCCUCUUUUUAAUAAAGAGCGGUGAUGACGGUACCGUAAGAAUAAGCACCGGUUAACUACGUGCCAGCAGCCGCGGCAAUACGUAGGGUGCGAGCGUUAAUCGGAAUUACUGGGCGUAAAGCGUGCGCAGGCGGUCUUGCAAGACAGUGGUGAAAUCCCCGGGCUCAACCUGGGAACUGCCAUUGUGACUGCAAAGCUGGAGUACGGCAGAGGGGGAUGGAAUUCCGCGUGUAGCAGUGAAAUGCGUAGAGCUGUGGAGGAACACCGAUGGCGAAGGCAGCCCCCUGGGCCUGUACUGACGCUCAUGCACGAAAGCGUGG
rnacentral:rRNA from 1 species